rnacentral:rRNA from 1 species
AUUGAACGCUGGCGGCAGGCUUAACACAUGCAAGUCGAGCGGAGAUGAGGUGCUUGCACCUUAUCUUAGCGGCGGACGGGUGAGUAAUGCUUAGGAAUCUGCCUAUUAGUGGGGGGCAACAUUCCGAAAGGAAUGCUAAUACCGCAUACGUCCUACGGGAGAAAGCAGGGGAUCUUCGGACCUUGCGCUAAUAGAUGAGCCUAAGUCGGAUUAGCUAGUUGGUGGGGUAAAGGCCUACCAAGGCGACGAUCUGCAGCGGGUCUGAGAGGAUGAUCCGCCACACUGGGGCUGAGACACGGCCCAGACUCCUACGGGAGGCAGCAGUGGGGAAUAUUGGACAAUGGGGGGAACCCUGAUCCAGCCAUGCCGCGUGUGUGAAGAAGGCCUUAUGGUUGUAAAGCACUUUAAGCGAGGAGGAGGCUACUGAGACUAAUACUCUUGGAUAGUGGACGUUACUCGCAGAAUAAGCACCGGCUAACUCUGUGCCAGCAGCCGCCGUAAUAC